GAUGAACGCUGGCGGCGUGCCUAAUACAUGCAAGUCGAGCGAACGGACGAGAAGCUUGCUUCUCUGAUGUUAGCGGCGGACGGGUGAGUAACACGUGGAUAACCUACCUAUAAGACUGGGAUAACUUCGGGAAACCGGAGCUAAUACCGGAUAAUAUUUUGAACCGCAUGGUUCAAAAGUGAAAGACGGUCUUGCUGUCACUUAUAGAUGGAUCCGCGCUGCAUUAGCUAGUUGGUAAGGUAACGGCUUACCAAGGCAACGAUGCAUAGCCGACCUGAGAGGGUGAUCGACCACACUGGAACUGAGACACGGUCCAGACUCCUACGGGAGGCAGCAGUAGGGAAUCUUCCGCAAUGGGCGAAAGCCUGACGGAGCAAAGCCGCGUGAGUGAUGAAGGUCUUCGGAUCGUAAAACUCUGUUAUUAGGGAAGAACAUAUGUGUAAGUAACUGUGCACAUCUUGACGGUACCUAAUCAGAAAGCCACGGCUAACUACGUG
rnacentral:rRNA from 1 species